rnacentral:rRNA from 1 species
AGUGAACGCUGGCGGUAGGCCUAACACAUGCAAGUCGAACGGCAGCACAGUAAGAGCUUGCUCUUACGGGUGGCGAGUGGCGGACGGGUGAGGAAUACAUCGGAAUCUACUUUUUCGUGGGGGAUAACGUAGGGAAACUUACGCUAAUACCGCAUACGACCUACGGGUGAAAGCAGGGGAUCUUCGGACCUUGCGCGAUUGAAUGAGCCGAUGUCGGAUUAGCUAGUUGGCGGGGUAAAGGCCCACCAAGGCGACGAUCCGUAGCUGGUCUGAGAGGAUGAUCAACGACACUGGAACUUAGACACGGUCCAGACUCCUACGGUAGGCAGCAGUGGGGAAUAUUGGACAAUGGUCGCAAGCCUUAUCCAGCCAUACCGCGUGUGUGAAGAAGGCCUUCGGGUUGUAAAGCCCUUUUUUUGGUAAAGAAAAGCAGCAGGUUAAUACCCCGCUGUUCUGACGGUACCCAAAGAAUAAGCACCGGCUAACUUCGUG